GAAAAAGUGGCAUUUGAGCAGAGCCUUGAAAGGUGUCUGGAAUAGCUACAAUCCUAAACACACUUUCUUGGAGAAGGAUCAGCAUAAUCCUAAACACACUUUCUUGGAGAAGGAUCAGCAUUUGCCAAGAUACACAGAGGCUGAAGAUGCAGGCCAUUCUUAGGGAAAGAAGUGAUCCUUAGCUAGAGUGAAGGAUCUGGAGGAAAGAGGUAUGGACAAGCUCCUAGAAGAAAGAAACUGUGGUUGACCCUUGAACAACAUGGGUUUCAACAGUGCAGAUCCACUUAUGUGUGGAUUAUUUUUUAUGACUAUGGUACAGUACUCUCCUACCUUUGUGAGAUGACAUGCAUGUGUGUGGACACACCAGCUUUAUACCCAAGCUCUGUGCAUUCUUUCUCCCACUUCAAUAGCAGCUUCUCCUUGGCCCUUGGAGUGAGCAUC